AUUAAGCCACGAGAUAAUGAAAAUUGAUGAGAUUAUAAGUCCAAGGUAGCGCCUCACCAUGAAUACAUAAGUACUUGCGGACGGCUACAUAAACGGCUAUAUUCCCAACGGCCAUAUUCCAUAAACGGCUAUCACUAUUCCCUCUCCGUAGGAACUCACCGCCGCCGGUGUUCGUUCUCUUCCCACCAACGGAAUUCCGGCAACCGACGUCUGGGCAGAGGAUUCUACUAAAAGGGAAUCUGGCACUAAGGUUCAUCAUGCUAACAUCCGAGCAGCUAAGGUACCCUACCGGCAAACCAACAAUUGGGAUCAGUUUAUCGGAGUACCAGACAAGAUAACGACCGACAACCAAUUUCAAUUCAGCAAUUCAACAGAGAGAACAUCUUCAACUUCGACGGCACGCCACCAGGAUAGCCACCAGCUAAGGGCAUUGUCCUCUUCCCUUUUCUUCCUUUCAUUUAUCUUUUCAUUUAUUUUUUUUAUAUUUACUUAUUGUGUUUGUUUUAGUGUAGCCUAUUGUGUGAUAUUGUUUUGUUGUGCUUUAGUUAGUGUUCUGCACCGAGAUUGGGUCCUCCGGACUCUUAAUCUUGCACACAAUCAGUCCUCUGCAUUACGUGGAGGAUGAUUGACUCAAACUCACACAAAACAACCGCCAAUCAACCCAAGAAACCAAUUCUUGGUUUUCAGGCCAGCCUUGGUCACCCUCUGAUUUGGCUUUACUCACCAACGAGAAAUGACCCCCCACACCCUCCCUCGAGUUCCACUCAAAUAAGGGAAGAUGACACUCUAAAUUGUUCCACAAUUAGAGUGUAGAAGAUGUUCCACACGUUCUUGCAAAGCUGAGAUUGUAAUGACAAACACACACAAAGGAGAGGAAUAUAACCUUGAGGAAAUGAAGAAGAAUUCUUAUUAAUCACCAAACUUAAUGAAUGUACAUGAGAGACAACCUAUAUUUAUAGUUUUCUAGCUAGCUAACGGCUAAUAACAUCACGUGCAUUACAUCAUGUGUUUUAAAAACACAAAACAGAAGCAUAAAACUAAGUCAGAACACUGAUUCUGAUUUCAGCACCAGCCUGCUGACUGGGAAACCUUGCACAUGGAUUUUAGAGAGUUGUGUGAGUCAUCAAUAGGGUUCUUGGCCCUUGAUGGCUAGGUCCAUGUGCCAAGAUUCCAUUUCUACAUUAGUCCAGGUCCUGGGUGCACAGGUCUGGUCUCCACGUGUCGUGCAAGGUGGCUUGGUCGCUAGCUGCUGUGCUGUUCUGUAUGGUCUGUAUGGGCUGUUCUGAUCUGCGAUUGGGUUCCUUUGGGCUUCCGUUCCAAGUGAUUGUGUGCGCUUCCAGCAUGGAUCUUGGACCUUGAUGGCUUGGUCCAUGUAUGGAGAUCACGUUUCCAUGGUUGUUUGGCCCCAGGUCUCCUUGGUUAAGGCUCAAACCACGCUGCAAAGUAAGCUGGUCAGCGGGUGUCUUGCUAUUUUGACCUGCUGCUGUUUUCUGUUCUUCCUAAGCAUUCUGAUGUGUAUGUGGGUUUGCUGUGUUGUUCUUUGUAUGAUAACCUUGAUUCUUUGUGUGAUCUUCAUCCUUAUGAGUUGAGUGAGGUUGAGGUGCAUCUUCAUUAGUUUGUACUGAACCAUGGGCUGAGGUAUGUUUUGAGGUUAGGCACACAUGGUUCAUGUUCCCUUUAAAGUUUUUUUGGUAACCUUUCUAACUUAGUCCUGAGUAAUUGAAUAUAGAGUUAGAAAGCAAUUGUGGUCUUAUUAUUAUUAUUAUUAUUAUUAUUAUUAUUAUUAUUAUUAUUAUUAUUAUUGUUAUUAUUGUUAUCAUUAUUGUUAUCGUUCGUUAUCGUCAUCGGUCUUUGCUUCCUGAGGUUAAGGCUGGCUGUGUCAUUAAUCUUACUUCCAAACUUUUCAUCCUUAGCUGGUUUUGCAUUAUUACCUUUUGAAGAAUUGAUGAAGAACCCGUUAUUUAGCACUUGAAGAAUUGAUGAAGAACUCAUUUGUUGUCUAGUAGGAAUUGGAAUAUAUCCAUCAACAGCAUCCAUAAGUUUAUAAAUUUUAUCAACCCAUUCAUUUUCAGUUUUCACCCCUCUUAAUAUUAGGGUUCUUCAUCAAUUUAUCAAUUCUUAUUUUGAGAUAUGCAUUAUUUUAUUCCCAACAAAUUAAAUAAUUUUUAUUGUUCAUUAUUAGAUCUAAUCUAAAUUAUUAAAUAAAUUAGUUGUGUUAAUUUUAUUGUUAUUAUUAUUAUUAUUGUUAUUAUUGUAAUUAUUAUUAUUAUUAUUAUUAUCAUUAUUAUUAUUAUUAUUAUUAUUGUCAUUAUUAUUAUUAUUAUUAUUAUUAUUAUUAUUAUUAUUAUUAUUAUUAUUAUUAUUAUUGUCAUUAUUAUUAUUAUUAUUAUUAUUAUUAUUAUUAUUAUUAUUAUUAUUAUUAUUAUACCAUGGUUAUUUUUGGUUGUGUGUAGGUAUCCUACUGGCAAGACAACAACUAGGAUCAGUUUAUCGGAGUACCGGACACGAUAACGACCGACAACAAGUUUCAAAUAAGCAAUUCAACAAAGAGAACAUCUUCAACUUCGACAGCACGCUACCAGGAUAGCCAUCAGCUAAGGGCAUUGUCGUCUUCCCUUUUCUUCCUUUUGAUUUAUCUUUUCAUUAUUUUUUUUUAUAUUUACUUAACAACUAGGAUCAGUUUAUCGGAGUACCAGACAAGAUAACGACCGACAACCAGUUUCAAAUCAGCAAUUCAACAGAGAGAACAUCUUCAAUUUCGAAGGCACACCACCAGGAUCGCCACCAGCUAAGUGAAUUUUCCUCUUCCGUUUCUUCCUUUCAUUGAUCGUUUCAUUUUUUUUUUAUAUUUACUUAUUGUGUUAUUAUUGUUAUUAUUAUUGUUAUUAUUAUUAUUAUUAUUAUUUAUUAUUAUUAUUAUUAUUAUUAUUAUUAUUAUUAUUAUUAUUAUUAUUAUUGUAAUUAUUAUUAUUAUUAUUAUUAUUAUUAUUAUUAUUAUUAUUAUUAUUUUUACUAUGGUUAUUUUUGGAAGGGCGUUGUCCUCUUCCUUUUUCUUCCUUUUGAUUUAUCUUUUCAUUAAAUUUUUUUUAUAUUUACUUAACAACUAGGAUCAACUUAUCGGAGUACCAGACAGGAUAACGUUUAACAACCAGUUUCAAAUCAGCAAUUCAACAGAGAGAACAUCUUCAACUUCGACGGCACGCCACCAGGAUCGUCACAAGCUAAGUGAAUUUUCCUCUUCCGUUUUCUUCCUUUCAUUGAUCUUUUUAUUUAUUUUUUUUUAUAUUUACUUAUUAUUAUUAUGAUUAUUAUUAUUAUUAUUAUUAUUAUUAUUAUUAUUAUUAUUAUUUAUUAUUAUUAUUAUUAUUUUUAUUAUUAUUAUUAUUAUUAUUAUUGUUAUUAUUGUAAUUAUUAUUUUUAUUAUUGUUGUUGUUAUUAUUAUUAUUAUUAUUAUUAUUAUUAUUAUUAUUAUUAGUUUUUGUAUGGUUAUUUUUGGAAAGGCAUUGUCCUCUUCCCUUUGCUUCUUUUUGAUUUAUCUUUUCAUUAAAUUUUUUUUAUAUUUACUAAACAACUAGGACCAAUUUAUCGCAGUACCAGAUAAGACAACGUCCGACAACCAGUUUCAAAUCAGCAAUCAACAGAGAGAACAUCUUCAACUUCUACGGCACGCCACCAGGAUCGCCACUAGCUAAGAUUAGUUUAUCGGAGUACCAGACAAGAUAACGUCCGACAACCAGUUUCAAAUCAGCAAUUCAAUAGAGAGAACAUCUACAACUUCGACGGCACGCCACCAGGAUCGCCACAAGCUAAGUGAAUUUUCCUCUUCCGUUUUCUUCCUUUCAUUGAUCUUUUUAUUUAUUUUUUUUAUAUUUACUUAUUAUUAUUAUUAUUAUUAUUAUUUAUUAGUAUUAUUAUUAUUGUUAUUAUUGUAAUUAUUAUUUUUAUUAUUGUUAUUAUUAUUAUUAUUAUUAUUAUUAUUAUUAUUAUUAUUAUUAUUAGUUUUAGUAUGGUUAUUUUUGUAAAGGCAUUGUCCUCUUCCCUUUGCUUCUUUUUGAUUUAUCUUUUCAUUAAAUUUUUUUUAUAUUUACUAAACAACUAGGAUCAGUUUAUCGGAGUACCAGACAAGAUAACGUCCGACAACCAGUUUCAAAUCAGCAAUUCAACAGAGAGAACAUCUUCAACUUCGACGGCACGCCACCAGGAUCGCCACCAGCUAAGUGAAUUUUCCUCUUUCGUUUUCUUCCUUUCAUUGAUCUUUUUAUUUAUUUUUUUUAUAUUUACUUAUUGUGUUAUUAUUGUUAUUAUUAUUGUUAUUAUUAUUAUUAUUAUUAUUAUUAUUAUUAUUAUUAUUAUUAUUUUUAUUGUUAUUAUAUUUAUUAUUAUUAUUAUUAUUAUUAUUAUUGUUAUUAUUGUAAUUAUUAUUUUUAUUAUUGUUGUUAUUGUUAUUAUUAUUAUUAUUAUUAAUAUUAUUUUUACUAUGGUUAUUUUUGGAAGGGCAUUGUCCUCUUUCCUUUGUUUCCUUUUGAUUUAUCUUUUCAUUAAUUUUUUUUUAUAUUUAUUUAAGUAGGAUCAGUUUAUCGGAAUAGCAGACAAGAUAACGUUCGACAACCAGUUUCAAAUCAGCAAUUCAACAGAGAGUACAUCUUCAACUUCGACGGCACGCCACCAGGAUCGCCACCAGCUACGUGCAUUUUCCUCUUCCGUUUUCUUCCUUUCAUUGAUGUUUUUAUUUAUUUUUUUUAUAUUUACUUUUUGUGAUUGUGAUUGUGAUUAUGAUUGUAAUUGUGUGUGUUUGUGUUUGUGUUUGUGUUUGUGUUUGUGUUUGUGUUUGUGUUUGUGUUUGUGUUUGUGUUCGUGUUUGUGUUUAUGAUUGUGAUUGUGAUUCUGAUUGUGUUUGUGAUUCCGUUUAUGAUUGCGUUUGUGUUUGUGAUUGUGUUUGUGUUUGUAUUUGUGUUUGUGAUUGCGUUUGUGAUUGCGUUUGUGAUUGCGUUUUUGUUUGUGAUUGUGAUUGUGAUUGUGUUUGUGUUUGUGUUUUUGUUUGUAAUUGUGUUUGUGUUUGUGUUUGUGUUUGGGAUUGGGUUUGGGAUUGAGAUUGGUAUUGGGUUUGGGUUUGGGUUUCGGAUUGUGAUUGGGAUUGUGUUUGUGUUUGUGUUUGUGUUUGUGUUUGUGUUUGUGUUUGUGUUUGUGAUUGUGUUUGUAUUUGUGUUUGUGUUUGUGUUUGUGUUUCUGAUUGUGAUUAUGAUUGUAAUUGUGACUGUAAUUAUGAUUGUGAUUGUGAUUGAUUGUAAUUGUGAUUGUUAAUUAUUAUUGUUAUUAUUUUUAUUGUUAUUAUUAUUAUUAUUAUUAUUAUUAUUAUUAUAUUUAUUAUUAUUAUUAUUUUUUUUUAUUUACAACUAGGAUCAGUUUAUCGGAAUAGCAGACAAGAUAACGUCCGACAGCCAGUUUCAAAUCAUCAAUUCAACAGAGAGUACAUCUUCAACUUCGGCGGCACGCCACCAGGAUCGCCACCAGCUAAGUGAUCAGUUUAUCGGAAUAGCAGACAAGAUAAUGUCCGACAACCAGUUUCAAAUCAGCAAUUCAACAGAGAGUACAUCUUCAACUUCGACGGCACGCCACCAGGAUCGCCACCAGCUAAGUGCAUUUUCUUCUUCCGUUUUCUUCCAUUCAUUGAUGUUUUUAUUUAUUUUUUUUAGAAUUACUUUUUGUGAUUGUGAUUGUGAUUAUGAUUGUAAUUGUGUGUGUUUGUGUUUGUGUUUGUGUUUGUGUUUGUGAUUGUGAUUGUGAUUCUGAUUGUGUUUGUGAUUGCGUUUAUGAUUGCUUUUGUGUUUGUGAUUGUGUUUGUUAUUGCGUUUGUGAUUGCGUUUUUGUUUGUGAUUGUGAUUGUGAUUGUGUUUGUGUUUGUGUUUAUGUUUGUGAUUGUGUUUGUGUUUGGGAUUGGGUUUGGGAUUGGGUUUGGGAUUGAGAUUGGUAUUGGGUUUGGGUUUGGUUUUGUGUUUCGGAUGGUGAUUGGGAUUGUGUUUGUGUUCGUGUUUGUGUUUGUGUUUGUGAUUGUGUUUGUGUUUGUGUUUGUGUUUGUGUUUGUGUUUAUGUUUGUGUUUGUGUUUCUGAUUGUGAUUAUAAUUGUGAUUGUGACUGUAAUUAUGAUUGUGAUUAUGAUUGAUUGUAAUUGUGAUUGUUAUUAUUAUUGUUAUUAAUAUUAUUAUUAUUAUUAUUAUUAUUAUUAUUAUUAUUAUUAUUAUUAUUAUUUUUACUAUGGUUAUUUUUGGAAGGGCAUUGUCCUCUUCCCUUUGCUUCUCUUUGAUUUAUCUUUUCAUUCAUUUUUUGUUAUAUUUACUUUACAACUAGGAUCAGUUUAUCGGAGUAUCAGACAAGAUAACGACCGGCAACCAGUUUCAAAUCAGCAAUUCAACAGAGAGAACAUGUUCAACUUCGACGGCACGCCACCCGGAUCGCCACCAGCUAAGUGCACUUUUCUCUUCCGUUUUCUUCCUUUCAUUGAUCUUUUUAUUGAUUUUUUUUAAUUAUUUUUCGUGAUUGUGAUUGUGAUUAUAAUUGUGAUUGUGAUUGUGAUUGUGAUUGUGAUUGUGAUUUUGAUUGUUUGUGUUUGUGUUUGUGUUUGUGUUUGUGAUUGUGUUUGUUAAUGCGUUUGUGAUUGCGUUUGUGUUUGUGUGUUUGUGAUUGUGAUUG